ACCAACAGGGAUUGCCUUAGUAACGGCGAGUGAAGCGGCAAAAGCUCAAAUUUGAAAUCUAGCACUUUCAGUGUUCGAGUUGUAAUUUGAAGAAGGUAACUUUGGAAUUGGCUCUUGUCUAUGUUCCUUGGAACAGGACGUCACAGAGGGUGAGAAUCCCGUGCGAUGAGAUGUCCAAUUCUAUGUAAAGUGCUUUCGAAGAGUCGAGUUGUUUGGGAAUGCAGCUCUAAGUGGGUGGUAAAUUCCAUCUAAAGCUAAAUAUUGGCGAGAGACCGAUAGCGAACAAGUACAGUGAUGGAAAGAUGAAAAGAACUUUGAAAAGAGAGUGAAAAAGUACGUGAAAUUGUUGAAAGGGAAGGGCUUGAGAUCAGACUUGGUAUUUUGUGUUCCUUAUCCUUCUUGGAUUAGGUUCCUCACAGCUUACCGGGCCAGCAUCGGUUUGGAUGGCAGGAUAAUGACAUUGGAAUGUAGCUUUGCUUCGGUGAAGUGUUAUAGACUUUGUUGAUACUGCCUAUCUAGACCGAGGACUGCGUCUUUGACUAGGAUGCUGGCGUAAUGAUCUUAAGCCGC
rnacentral:rRNA from 1 species